rnacentral:rRNA from 1 species
GACGAACGCUGGCGGCAUGCCUAAUACAUGCAAGUCGAGCGGACAGAUGAAGUGCUUGCACUUCUGACGUUAGCGGCGAACGGGUGAGUAACCCGUAAGUAAUCUACCUAUAAGCGGGGGAUAACAUUCGGAAACGGGUGCUAAUACCGCAUAAUAUCUUCUUCCGCAUGGAAGAAGAUUGAAAGACGGCUCUGCUGUCACUUAUAGAUGACCUUGCGGUGCAUUAGUUAGUUGGUGGGGUAAUGGCCUACCAAGACGAUGAUGCAUAGCCGACCUGAGAGGGUGAUCGGCCACGUUGGGACUGAGACACGGCCCAAACUCCUACGGAAGGGAGCAGUAGGGAAUCUUCCGAAAUGGGCGAAAGCCUGACGGAGCAAUGCCGCGUGAGUGAAGAAGGCCUUCGGGUCGUAAAACUCUGUUGUAAGAGAAGAACAAAUUGUAGAGUAACUGCUACAGUCUUGACGGUAUCUUAUCAGAAAGCCACGGCUAACUACGUGCCAGCCGCCGCCGUAA